rnacentral:rRNA from 1 species
GACGAACGCUGGCGGCGUGCUUAACACAUGCAAGUCGAGCGGUAAGGCCCUUUCGGGGGUACACGAGCGGCGAACGGGUGAGUAACACGUGGGUGACCUGCCCUCAGCUCUGGGAUAAGCCUGGGAAACCGGGUCGUAAUACUGGAUAUGACUCCAUGACGCAUGUUGUGGGGUGAAAGCCUUGUGCGGCUGAGGAUGGGCCCGCGGCCUA